rnacentral:rRNA from 1 species
AACUUUCAACAACGGAUCUCUUGGCUCUCGCAUCGAUGAAGAACGCAGCGAAAUGCGAUAAGUAAUGUGAAUUGCAGAAUUCAGUGAAUCAUCGAAUCUUUGAACGCACCUUGCGCCCUCUGGUAUUCCGGAGGGCAUGCCUGUUUGAGUGUCA